GACCACAGCUAUUAAAACAAGCAGUGGCAAAUAUAAAGAUAUUUGGACAGUACAGGAGAUACAUAGUGUUAGGAAAGUAUAGAACUUACAUAAAGAAAAUAAGUUGCCUCUAGAGCAUUAACCUCUGGGCCCCUGAGUAUUCCAAGGUUAGUUUUUUUAGAGAAAUAAUUUUUAAAGUGGCUGUAGAUUGAUCGAGGAGAUUGGAUAGAAGGUUAUAGAGAGAACCAAGGAAAAGGUCCUUCAACCUCCUGUUCGUGAUGUGGGCUUUCUCUACUGCUGUCAUCCUCUCUUAUCAAACUGUGUUGCCAGAACGGGCAAGGGCCACAGCCAUGGAAGAGGGGCUACCAAAUGGAACUCCAACCUAAGGGCUGGGACCAGGAUCUACCCAUCCCCAUCAAGCGAGGAUUGAUACUAACUACAGCCACUCCUGCGGGGGCCCAGGGCCUCAUUAUCCUAGGGGAAGAGGAGAUGGAGGUGAGAGGAAGAGGAUGGAUGAAUGUGGAAGGCCUUCUGCAGCUUAGCAUGCAAUGGUCAUUUCCUGUAUGCAAGGUCUUCUGCUAUGUUCUGUGCAGGAAAUCAAGAAUGAGAAACAAUUUUGGCCCUAGAGGCCUUACAAAUAUAUCUUCCUAAUUACAAGGUUAUAGUCCUUUGGGAAUUGCAAGUUCCCUUGAAAAUUCACACAAUCCUAACAUGUGUUGUGCCUAGUUUGAUGUGUUCUUAAACUAUUACUAGCUAACACUUCUUACUGCAGAAUUUCUGUGGAAAUGAGACAUAGGUAUUUCUACAGGAUAAAUGAGACGAGUGAAAAGAGGUGUUGAAAAGGAAAACGAAAGGAUGAAACAGAUACA